AGUUGUUGUUGUUGUUGUGGCUGUUGUAAUAGUAGUAGUAGUUUUGCAGAAGUAGUUGUAGUAGUAGUAGUAGUACUAGUAGUAGAAGUAAUAGUAGUAACUUUCAAAGCAAUGUCUACAAGUUUAAAUUCCUUAACCCUGUUCAAGGUGUAUACACACUCAAUAUUUAACUACAGUCCAGGUUUGCAAUUAACAAACUAUCUGAUAAACCUGUGUGUGAGUCAGAUAUGUCUGCUGCUAAUCUAUUGGUUAUAAAAUAUCACAGCCUUUUCUGAUUGGCUGAGUUCAAAUACAGAAAGUUUACCUGUUAGAUUGAAAUUCUGGAGCAGGCGUAUUGUAAAAUAUGCAGGUUAAACUUGUUGUUAAAAUGAAGUUAAUGUAAUGUUCACAAACAGUAGAGUUAAUGAGUUUUUCCAUUAACAAGAAUUUCUUAAAAUAAUAAUGUAUGGAUAUCAUUUGGAAAGUGACAUGAAAUGUUGUUAAAAAGUGAUGCAUACAAGUGUUUCAGAAGUCUGUCUAGGAAUAGAACAACAACUGAAGCUGACCAGUUGAUGAAAGAUACUGCAGAGUUUGGCAGGGAAAUAACCCAAGACAGCAAAGCGGCUCUUUUGGCGCAUUUACUAAGAGGACUAACAUGGCCACAAAUUCAUGAGAUCAUGCAGGAGCCGUACAGUAUAACAGCAGUACAAGUUCUAUAAAAGAUCCACGACCUACUGAAGCCCAGCUAAUUACAAAAAAGUUUUUAAAAACUGUAAUUUUAUCCCACCUGGGUACUUAUAAUUUACAAAGCUGCCUACACAAGUUUUAGACUUGCAAUUAUAUUUUAAACUGUCACUUGGAAAGUAAUACAUGCACAUGCAUUAUGUUCUGAAUUUCUUUGAACAAUAAAAUUAUAUAAAAGUAUUUUAAUGAAAUUGAGCACCUAAAUUGCAUUAAAGUGAAAGUAGCUGAGAAAAAUAGUAUCCUUGUGCUCAUGGGCAGCUACAUAUAUUGUGUCAAACAUGAAUUAGCUAAAAUAACUUAAAUUUUUCAUUUUGUUUCUUGUAUAUCGUUUGUACAGGGUUCGUGAAUUGUUACUGUAUAUU